rnacentral:rRNA from 1 species
AGGGUUCGAUUCUGGCUCAGGAUGAACGCUAGCGGCAGGCCUAAUACAUGCAAGUCGUACGGUAAAGUCCCCUUCGGGGGAUUGAGAGUGGCGGACGGGUGCGUAACGCGUAUGCAACCACCCCCGACGGGCGGAUAGCCGGUGGAAACGCCGGAUAACCCGCCAUGCGGCCCCACAGGGGCAUCCCCUGUGGAGUCAAAGCGGCGACGCGGUCGGGGACGGGCAUGCGUCCCAUUAGAUGGUUGGCGGUGCAAUGGACCACCAAGUCUACGAUGGGUAGGGGAUCUGAGAGGACGGUCCCCCACACUGGUACUGAGACACGGACCAGACUCCUGCGGGAGGCAGCAGUAAGGGAUAUUGGGCAAUGGGGGCAACCCUGACCCAGCCAUGCCCGCGUGAGGGAAUGAGGCCCUACGGGUCGUGAACCUCUUUUGUCCGGGGACAAGGCAUCCCACGCGAUGGGAUGUUGAGGGUACCGGGAGAAUAGGCGUCGGCUAACUCCGUGCCAGCCGCGGC